AGCGAACGCUGGCGGCGUGCCUAGCACAUGCAAGUCGAACGUGAAAAGGGAAACCUGAGUCAAGCGGCGUACGGGUGAGUAACGCGUAGGUAAUCUACCCCAGAAUCUGGAAUAACCUGCCGAAAGGCGGGCUAAUACUGGAUAGAGCGAGGGAACUCGUAAGAGAGUUUUUCGGGAAAGGGAGCCCGCAAGGGCCUUCGUUCUGGGAUGAGCCUGCGUCUCAUUAGCUAGUUGGUAAGGUAACGGCUUACCAAGGCGAUGAUGAGUAGCUGGUCUGAGAGGAUGAUCAGCCACACUGGAACUGAAACACGGUCCAGACUCCUACGGGAGGCAGCAGUGGGGAAUCUUGCGCAAUGGACGAAAGUCUGACGCAGCCACGCCGCGUGAGUGAAGAAGGCCUUCGGGUUGUAAAGCUCUGUCGGAUGGGACGAACAUCUUCAUAGUGAAUAGCUAUGAGGACUGACGGUACCAUCAAAGGAAGCACCGGCUAACUCCGUG
rnacentral:rRNA from 1 species